rnacentral:piRNA from 1 species
ACGACUCCAAGAUCGAACCUACGCAGCUC